CCCCGCGAUGACGCUGGCGGCAUGCCUUACACAUGCAAGUCGAACGGCAGCACGGGAGCAAUCCUGGUGGCGAGUGGCGAACGGGUGAGUAAUACAUCGGAACGUGUCCUGUAGUGGGGGAUAGCCCGGCGAAAGCCGGAUUAAUACCGCAUACGCUCUACGGAGGAAAGGGGGGGAUCUUAGGACCUCCCGCUACAGGGGCGGCCGAUGGCAGAUUAGCUAGUUGGUGGGGUAAAGGCCUACCAAGGCGACGAUCUGUAGCUGGUCUGAGAGGACGACCAGCCACACUGGGACUGAGACACGGCCCAGACUCCUACGGGAGGCAGCAGUGGGGAAUUUUGGACAAUGGGGGAAACCCUGAUCCAGCAAUGCCGCGUGUGUGAAGAAGGCCUUCGGGUUGUAAAGCACUUUUGUCCGGAAAGAAAACCUCUGGGUUAAUACCCCGGGGGGAUGACGGUACCGGAAGAAUAAGCACCGGCUAACUACGUGCCAGCAGCCGCGGUAAUACGUAGGGUGCAAGCGUUAAUCGGAAUUACUGGGCGUAAAGCGUGCGCAGGCGGUCCGCUAAGACAGAUGUGAAAUCCCCGGGCUUAACCUGGGAACUGCAUUUGUGACUGGCGGGCUAGAGUAUGGCAGAGGGGGGUAGAAUUCCACGUGUAGCAGUGAAAUGCGUAGAGAUGUGGAGGAAUACCGAUGGCGAAGGCAGCCCCCUGGGCCAAUACUGACGCUCAUGCACGAAAGCGUGGGGAGCAAACAGGAUUAGAUACCCUGGUAGUCCACGCCCUAAACGAUGUCAACUAGUUGUCGGGUCUUCAUUGACUUGGUAACGUAGCUAACGCGUGAAGUGACCGCCUGG
rnacentral:rRNA from 1 species